rnacentral:rRNA from 1 species
GGCUCAGGAUGAACGCUGGCGGUAUGCUUAACACAUGCAAGUCGAACGGUCUCUUCGGAGAUAGUGGCGGACGGGUGAGUAACGCGUAAGAAUCUACCUUCAGGUUGGGGACAACCACUGGAAACGGUGGCUAAUACCCAAUGUGCCGAGAGGUGAAAGGCUUGCUGCCUGAAGAAGAGCUUGCGUCUGAUUAGCUAGUAGGUGAGGUAAGAGCUUACCUAGGCGACGAUCAGUAGCUGGUCUGAGAGGAUGAUCAGCCACACUGGGACUGAGACACGGCCCAGACUCCUACGGGAGGCAGCAGUGGGGAAUUUUCCGCAAUGGGCGAAAGCUUGACGGAGCAAUACCGCGUGAGGGAGGAAGGCUCUUGGGUUGUAAACCUCUUUUCUCAGGGAAGAAAAAAAUGACGGUACCUGAGGAAUAAGCAUCGGCUAACUCCGUGCCAGCAGCCGCGGUAAUACGGAGGAUGCAAGCGUUAUCCGGAAUGAUUGGGCGUAAAGGGUCCGCAGGUGGCAUUGUAAGUCUGCUGUUAAAGAGUUUGGCUCAACCAAAUAAAAGCAGUGGAAACUACAAAGCUAGAGUCUGGUCGGGGCAGAGGGAAUUCCUGGUGUAGCGGUGAAAUGCGUAGAUAUCAGGAAGAACAUCGGUGGCGAAGGCGCUCUGCUAGGCCAAAACUGACACUGAGGGACGAAAGCUAGGGGAGCGAAUGGGAUUAGAUACCCCAGUAGUCCUAGCCGUAAACGAUGGAUACUAGGCGUAGCUCGUAUCGACCCGAGCUGUGCCGUAGCUAACGCGUUAAGUAUCCCGCCUGGGGAGUACGCAGGCCACUGUG